AAACCAACUAUCUUGAUUAAACAAAUGGCCACUUUGGAGCUGGGCUGAGUCAUGGGGUGGUUUCUCUUCUGGGGAGAAAGUAUCCAAAGGAAGUGGCAGGGUUAAAGAGCCCCAGCCCCUGGGUGCACCCCGGGGGCUGCCGAGUGUUCGAUGCGGAAGGGCCGAUAGUUAACUACCGUCCCACGCACAGGAUGAAAGCCCCGGUCGGUCUUUCUUUGAUCAAGAGGGUGAAGAAACCGUGAUGCUCAUAUCCGGGGCCGGUCCUCCCUGUGUUCUGUAUUUAGCUACCCUGGUUCCAGGCAGCCAUCAACUCGCUCCUGGUCAAUAUCCACCUGACCUCUAUGACACAGCGCUAACCAAGGUCAUGACUGCCGGCCUGUAUUACUAUUUCAUGAAUCUUCGUUGCCCACUGUUCCCACCAGACCGAAAGCUCCUAAGGCAGGCGUUCUGUUUUGCUGGCCAUUGGAUUCCUGGCAUAGAUACCGGGCACUUGCCUGGCCCAUGGACACCUCCAAUAUCAUAACCAGCUCGAUGUGAGAAACUAAAGUAUUUGUGAAAUUUCAAACACGCUUCAACUUGUUCACGAAGUUAAUAUCCAUCGAAUGUGCACCAGUGAUCUGCCGUGAGCCAGGCAUUGGCAAAGCAGGGACGGGGCAGGCAGAGAGAACUUCGCUCUCAAGGGGCACACGUUGCCCUUGUGUGAACUCGUGACCCUCUGAUCUUGUGGAGUCUCAGAAAACCAGAAGCUUCUCUUCCUGGGUCAACAGGAAGUGACCUCAGCACACUUGUGGUUCAUCUUUUUAAUACGGAUUGAUUUCCCUGAUGUGUAGUCUCCCCUUUAUCUCAAGCAAAAAUUGAGCAAUUUUGCUCUCCGUGUAAUCACUGCAGGCCUCCCACAUAUUGUCUAUUUCCCCAAGGCUCUGUUAUCACAACAGUGUGGAAUUGAAUAAAUUUCGGCACAUGGCCCUAAAGGAGAGAA